UACAGAGGUGGCAAGCGUUGUUCGGAAUUACUGGGCGUAAAGGGCGCGUAGGCGGUUGCCUAAGUCGGACGUGAAAUCCCCAAGCUUAACUUGGGAACUGCAUCUGAUACUGGGUGACUUGAGUUCGGGAGAGGAAUGUGGAAUUCCAGGUGUAGCGGUGAAAUGCGUAGAUAUCUGGAGGAACACCGGUGGCGAAGGCGGCAUCCUGGACCGGUAUUGACGCUGAGGCGCGAAAGCCAGGGGAGCAAACGGG
rnacentral:rRNA from 1 species